UAGAACGUCAACCCUAAACUUCGCUCGUCCUCGAUCGAAAAAGUAUGUUCCGAGAUACCUAAGCCAGGAUGAUUAACGACGAAGUGGUCGAAGAGGUCCUGAGGGGAGAACUGCAGGCGGCCAAAUGGGCAAUUCCUAGGACCCUCAAGAUAUUCAUUUCUUCGGCGAGAGACGAAUUUAUUGAAGAAAGAAGAAUCCUUUUAGAAAAUGUGGGUCCAGACCUUCAAACGCACUAUGACUCCACAGGGCUCGAGGUCGAGCUCGUCGAUAUGCAUUAUGGAACAGAAAACGACCCACUGUCUCACCCGUUUCAAUACGAGGAUCUCAUUCAGGAAAUAAGGGAAUGUCACAAAAUAUCCAGAGGGUGCUUUUAUCUGUGUCUUGUCGGAGAUGAAGUGACGGAAAGCCCGCUCCCGGUCCUGCUCACGGAAGACGAACACGUCCAGCUAACGGGGAAAGCGAGAGAUAUGGGCAUCGAUCCUGCUCCAGUUAAUUCGUGCUACCGUCCAGUCCCAGGCUACGGUUACAGACUGCAGAACACGAGUGAGGAAGAGAUGAAAUCAGCUUUAGAAGUCUUGAAACCAGCAGCUCGGAAAUUAAAAUCUCAAGGUGUCGAGACUAACCGACAGCUCAUGAAUUCAUCAGUGGAGCAUCAGUUCAACGUUGCCGCAGAAUUAAGCACCGAGCACAUGGUGGCAGUCAUAAGGAGUUUCGAAGACUGCCCUUCCCCGUUGGAUAAUCCCGAGAUGGAAGCUUUCAAGAUUAGCAUCGCCGAAAAUUUACCCGAGGACAACAUUAUAAAAUUAACGGUACCUUGGGCAAACGAGGGGAAACUAGACCCGGACUGUUCCAAGCAUGACACGUACCUCACUAUAUUUCAAGAAACGGUCUACUCCAGGCUCCAGGACAUGAUCAAUAAAAAUAUCGAAGAAAAACCAGAAAUCAACGCGAGAAAUAAAGCUAUUCAGGAGGUUUUUAAAGAAGCGCUGAUUCAUCUAGCCCUAAGCAAACAAAUCCUAGACGAAGUCGUCGAGGUGACGAAGUUGAAAGGCACCAUCGACCACGUAAAAUCUUUGAUGAUGAACGCCCCUUCACGGCACGGCCCCAUCAUCCUUCUCGGUUCUCACGGAUCCGGAAAGACAUCUGUUCUAACCAGGAUUUACAGUGAAUGCGAAGAAUGGUUCGGGAAUAAGGUUCUGAGGGUUCUGCGCUUUUCCGGGGCGACUCCACGCUCUUCGUACAACUUGGAGCUGGUGCGGAUGAUAUGCGAGCAGUUGCUACUCCUAUUUCAGCCGGCUGGACCCUGCAUACCUAAGGACGCAUCCUUCGACCCGCUCUACAUCAACAACUGGUUCCAAACUUUGGUUAGACGCUUUGACGAAGAAUCGAGCGACAGGACGCUAGUCAUACUGAUCGACGACUUGCACAGACUGAACCCACUCGAUUCGGACAUCGUCGCUGCUCUUUCAUGGCUACCGAUCAAUCUGCCUAAGAACGUGCAUAUCGUCGUGACGUCCGUCCUAACACCUGAUGUUCUAAAGUUGACACCCGUUCAAAGGGAAAGGUUCAAAUCUUCCGACUGUUUGUUUGAGCUGCCCUCUGUUAAAGGAGAUUUGGAGAAAGAUAUAGAAGAGAAGCUGGAACGUUUGGAGGCGGAGUUCGGAUCGGAGGCAAUCUCUCGUCUUGGAGCUUUUCUCACCGCGACCGAGUUCGGGCUUACCGAAGUGGAGUUGCUGGAACUUUUAAUGCCGACGUCUAGCGACAACGGGCCUCUUCUACUCAGUGACGGCUUCUUCAACUUCUCGACGUUCUGCACAGUGAAAAGGAAAAUAAUUGCGGAAUCUCUUAUUUUUGAAAAAUUCAUGAGCGGAAGGAUUUUACUAUGUUGGAAAUACGAGAUGAACGGAAAAGUGGCCAGGAAAAGAUACCUACAAAGCCAGGAUCUCACAAGAUCGAUCCAUGCUGAAAUUGCCAACCUUUUUUUCAGCGCUUUCAGCAAUCAAGAUGAACAGCUUGAAGAAUCUGAUCAUUCCGCCGAAGGUGAGAAGCAGACACCUUUCCAGUCUCAUCUGCAUGUUACGGACGUCACCUACAGCCUCCGUCAUGUUGAAGAAUCAUGGAUCCAUUUGCUUAAAGCGGGUGACAGUUCGAGGCUGAAACAAAUGACGUUCUGCAACUUCGACUUUCUGCUUGCAGCAGUGAGAACGAUUUCUGUCAGUUAUUUAAGAUCCAUUCUCGAACACGUGCGGUGUUAUCUACUCGACAGAGAUAUAGAGUUAGUAUAUUAUACUGUGAGAAAAUCCAGCGAUGUGCUUACAAGGGAUACUUUACAAUUAGGAGCUCAAGUGAUCUGUUGGUUAAGACCAGUUGCAGAAACGAGCGGGCAGUUAAUGAGCAGGAUGAUCAUGUCUGCAAUGGCUUGGUGCGACGGAUUUACAGAUCCACUGUUGGUUCCUCUCAACAGCUGGCUCCUCCCGCCGCUCCCUCUUCAGAUCAAAAGUGUUGUCUGUCCUAACGGUGUACGCCUAAUCGAGCCGACUCCCACGGCUCAGCACGUCGUGCUAAUUCCAAAUAACGGAGACCCUCAGAUCUGGCACGUAAUGUCAAACGCUCUUGUACAUACUUUCAAAGGACACAGUGGAAGGGUUUUGUGUCUUGCGAUUACGAAGCAAUCACAAUAUUUAAUUACCGGUUCUGAAGAUACUUCAAUAAUCGUGUGGGACUUAAAAACUUUAGAAAUCAAGUUAAGGCUGUUCGAACACAUUGCUCCAGUGCUUUCUGUGACGCCAGCAUUGAACAACACGCUUCUUGUGAGCGGAGGUGAAGAUUCUAGGAUAAUCGUGUCUUCUUUGGUCACUGGUGAAGUAGUCGUUAAAAUUGACCAUCACAGGGGCCCGGUUACGGCCGUCAACGUCACACUCCAGGGAGACAUUCUCGUUUCCGGUUCGUCGGAUAAAUCCGUUUGCCUAUGGGAGUUGGAGACGUUCACCCUUCUGAACACGAUCGUCGUAGCUUCUCCGGUCUCUAUGCUAUCGAUAACGGACGAUUCCGUUUUUCUUCUUGUUGCUUGCGAGGACAAUCAGCUUUACCUACACACUCUCGCCACAGGGACUGAAAUCCACACGCUGAGGGGUCAUAAAGCAAAAGUCGUAUCGAUUACGCUAGCUGGUGAUAAUCAAAGAGCUGUGGCAGGUGGUGCGGACGGCAGAGUCUACGUAUUCGACAUGCACAGCGGAUGUCUCGUGAGGACCAUUUCCACAAGCCACAACGGUGAAGUGACCGGGGUCAAAGUGACAAACAACGACGACUUCUUGAUAACUGCUGGUGGAAACAGAAUAACUUUCUGGAGCUUCCGGAAAGAGGACGGCGUUGGCGUAGACGACGCAGUACAACCGAUGAGUGGUAAAGCGCAAAACCAAGCGCAAAGGCUGCACACAGCACCCAUCACCUGUUGCGAUAUUUCCAGGGACGGCAUUACAAGUGUUACAGGAUCGAUGGAUUGUUUGGUAAACGUCUGGCAGCUGAACACUCACGAGUUACAUUCGACGAUGGAAGGCCACACCGGCACAGUGACAUGCGUGGCUAUAUCACCCAACGGAAUAUUCGCCAUUUCCGGCUCCGAAGACAAAACGGCGAGGGUUUGGGGCUUGACGCUCGGCAUGGUUGCUACAGUUUUCAAGGGCCACCAGGCGACCGUGACGGCCGUGGCAGUGCUCGCCGACAGCAGGCGAGUCGUGUCAAGCGACAGGCAGAACGUCUUCACCGUCUGGUUAGCGGACAACGCGACCCUUCUGCACACCGCUUUGGGCCCGACGACAUACAUGGCCAUAUCAAACGACAUGAAAUAUGUCGUCAGCGGGGACGGCGACAAUACAGUGAGAAUCUGGCCGGCCACGCCCCACAGAGACGACGAGCGUUUUAACGUAAGCCACAGCGAAGAAAUAACGUGUUUUGUUAUCACCAUCGACUCUUUACACGUGAUCACCGGGUCGCGAGAUAUGUCUCUCAAAGUAUGGCAAGUCGCUGGAGGAAAGCUGACGCAAGUGUUAGUAGGACAUACGGAUCAAGUUACUUGCGUGGCCGUAGCAAUAGAAAACAAGACCAUUGUCGUUUCUGGAUCGAAAGACUCAAAUCUAAUUGUUUGGGACAUGAUCACUGGUGAUGAUCUCCAUUUGCUCCAAGGCCAUUUGGGAUACGUGACCUGUGUAAAAUUGGCGGGAGACGGAAGCAUCGCGGUCUCGGGAUCCGAAGAUAAAAGGAUAAUAGUUUGGGACACAAAGAAAGGGGUUCCGCUGACCUCCCUUCAACUCCAUCAACCGAUACUGGGCUUUGUUAUGUCGACCGACGCUACAAGAGUAGCGGUCCACCUCCUUGAAAGUAAACAUCUGCCGAUAAUAUGCUUACACAACACUCCUGCGACCUACGUCAAAAUGCCCGUGUACGUUGCUCCGGCUAAGGAAAUCGAAGAUUUGCGGCCGAACGCGCCCAAGAGACCUAUGAGGAGGCUGUUAAAGAAAGAGGUAUCUCUCGACACUUACACAUGGCAGAGGAAAUACGGACAUUUAACUAGUUCCAUAAUGAAAUCAGCAGUCGACGAGAGGUUCAAAAGAAGAUUCUCGGUCUCCGCUAGCAUGGAAGAGAUAUCCAAAAUACCACAAAAAGAAAAUUUGGGCUCCCAGCAAGGUUUGGGGCCGGAGCAAGCUGCCCUGGCACAGUCACAGCAUUUUGAUCAGCUAGAAGCUCUAUGGAACAAAAGGUCCCCGCCUAGAUCCAGGCGAAUGUUUCAAUCCUUGUCAAAGCAAAACUCAAGGUCGAGUCGUAAGGAUUCUACAGAUAAUGAUGAUCAGCCUUCGCCAGUGGAGGAAGUUGCAGGAUAUUCAGGAUGACUUUUUAAUGUAGCGAAGAAGCCUUUGUUAAACAUUCUCCCAGCAGGUCCUUUAUCUAACUCGACUAAUCGUUGAUGUUCAUCACUGGAUUUGUACUCUUUGGGAUGACGGCAACGCCUGAUUCCACCAUGAAACGUAGCAAUACUUGUGAAGGAGAUUUUCCAUGCUUUUUUGCAAUCUCGCAUACGACAGGGUCC
rnacentral:misc_RNA from 1 species